rnacentral:tRNA from 1 species
GCCUCAGUGGCCAAGUGGUAAGGCGUCGGUCUUGUAAACCGAAGAUCAUGGGUUCAACCCCUAUCUGAGGCU